CGUCGUGAGACAGUUCGGUCCCUAUCUGCCGUGGGCGCUGGAGAACUGAGGGGGGCUGCUCCUAGUACGAGAGGACCGGAGUGGACGCAUCACUGGUGUUCGGGUUGUCAUGCCAAUGGCACUGCCCGGUAGCUAAAUGCGGAAGAGAUAAGUGCUGAAAGCAUCUAAGCACGAAACUUGCCCCGAGAUGAGUUCUCCCUGACUCCUUGAGAGUCCUGAAGGAACGUUGAAGACGACGACGUUGAUAGGCCGGGUGUGUAAGCGCAGCGAUGCGUUGAGCUAACCGGUACUAAUGAACCGUGAGGCUUAACCUUACAACGCCGAAGCUGUU
rnacentral:rRNA from 1 species